AACAAUGGUGGACUGGAUGGGGCAGCCGCAAGGCUGGCCGGUUGGUAAACCCGGUAACGCUAACUCCGUUCAGUUCACCGCCAAU
rnacentral:antisense_RNA from 1 species